AGUACACCUGUGUGGUUGGCAGCAGGUGAGGAAGAGAGCCGGAGGGGGCGGAGAGAGAGAGAGGCGGUAAACACGGCAGGUCCGCCGGUCAGAAAGUGUUCACAGAGCGGAGAAAUGUAGCGGGAGGUGGACAAACUACUGCGGGCUUUAGCCUCUUAAAGUCGGUUAAUACGUCCGGAAGUUAGCGCCUGUGUGUGCUGAGGUUCGGUUCGGUCGCUCCGUUCAUUAGCCGUCUGUUAGCCGUUGUUGUUUGUUAGCCGCUAAGCUACCCGGGAGAGUAGAGAUGCUAAGUGCUUAGCUAGCCUGCUAAUAGGCGCAGUGUGGCUAACGUUAAAAGGUCAGUGAUUGAGGACCUGUGUAAACCUGGACCCGGCGCUGGAUUCAAGAACGGAUAAACCCAGACGGACCGGGAGACGCGAUGUCAGAUAACUCUUCAGAUAUCCCUUCAGUUCCUGCUGCUCUCCUUCCUCUGACACCAGCAUCUCUACAGGACUGAAGCACAGCGGCUGAUGGACUGAGAACACCGAGACAUCGAUGGAAAAGUCCAGGAGUCUGUCGCAGCAGCUGAAGGAGGCUGAUUCCUGCUCCACCUGGACAGACGACUCACCUGUACCUGCCUCAGGACUCCACCUGUCUGCGAUACAAACUGAGAUUUUUCUGCCUUCGUCCAUGAUGGGAAUGUGCAGCCGAUUUGUUCUGUGAUGUGAUGCAGAACCACGUCAUGUGACCUGUUCAUGGCUGCGUGCAGCUGUAAUAUCCAGUCCUGCGUGCAGCGGCUCAGAGAAACUCUCCUGCUCUGCAGUAUCACCGUCUCUCUGUCCGUCCCCGGGGCCCUCUCCCAGCCAAAGUGAGGAGCUCGUGCCCAGAUGCAAAUGACUUUCCAAGGUCCUUGUGAUUGCUCAUUAACUUUCCGCGGGCAUAAGUCCUAACUUUAUUAUUGACUGCACAGAAUACACAAUCCACCGACCUCUGCCACCUGCAACUAAAUCUCUCCCGUCCGAUCCAUCGCACUGAUUUCUGCAGCGGGCCAGAA